rnacentral:rRNA from 1 species
CUACGUGCCAGCAGCCGCGGUAAUACGUAGGUGGCGAGCGUUAUCCGGAAUUAUUGGGCGUAAAGGGUGCGUAGGCGGCCUGUUAAGUAAGUGGUUAAAUUGUUGGGCUCAACCCAAUCCAGCCACUUAAACUGGCAGGCUAGAGUAUUGGAGAGGCAAGUGGAAUUCCAUGUGUAGCGGUAAAAUGCGUAGAUAUAUGGAGGAACACCAGUGGCGAAGGCGGCUUGCUAGCCAAAGACUGACGCUCAUGCACGAAAGCGUGGGGAGCAAAUAGGAUUAGAUACCCUAGUAGUCCACGCCGUAAACGAUGAAUACUAAGUAUUGGGGAAACUCAGUGCUGCAGCUAACGCAAUAAGUAUUCCGCCUGUGGAGUAUGCACGCAAGUGUGAAACAUAAAGGAAUUGACGGGGGCCCGCACAAGCGGUGGAGUAUGUGGUUUAAUUCGACGCAACGCGAGGAACCUUACCAGCGUUUGACAUC